GAUGAACGCUGGCGGCGUGCUUAACACAUGCAAGUCGAACGGGAAACCUUUUAUUUAAGCUUCGGCAGCUUUAGCUGUUUUCUAGUUGCGGACGGUUGAGUAACGCGUGGUUAACCUUCCUUAUACAGGGGGAUAACAACCAGAUAUUGUUGCUAAUACCGCAUAAUCGCACAGUACCGCAUUGUCCGGUUUUAAAAACUCCGUUGGUAUAAGAUGGAACCGCGUUGGAUUAGCUAGUUGGCAGGGUAACUGCCUACCAAGGCGACGAUCCAUAGCCGGCAUGAGAGGGAGAAAGGAGAAAUUGGGAGUGAGAAACGGAACAGAAUACGACGGGAGGCAGCAGUGGGGAAUAUUGCAAAAUGGGGGAAACCCUGAUGAAGCGACGACGCGAGAAGGAAGAAGUAACGCGGUAUGUAAAGUACAAUAAGAAGGGAAGAUAGUGACGGUAACUGACGAAGAAGCAACGGCUAACUACGUG
rnacentral:rRNA from 1 species